AUUGAACGCUGGCGGCAGGCUUAACACAUGCAAGUCGAGCGGGGUGAUGGUGCUUGCACUAUCACUUAGCGGCGGACGGGUGAGUAAUGCUUAGGAAUCUGCCUAUUAGUGGGGGACAACAUCUCGAAAGGGAUGCUAAUACCGCAUACGUCCUACGGGAGAAAGCAGGGGAUCACUUGUGACCUUGCGCUAAUAGAUGAGCCUAAGUCGGAUUAGCUAGUUGGUGGGGUAAAGGCCUACCAAGGCGACGAUCUGUAGCGGGUCUGAGAGGAGGAUCCGCCACACUGGGACUGAGAAACGGCCCAGACUCCUACGGGAGGCGGCAGUGGGGAAUAUUGGACAAUGGGGGGAACCCUGAUCCAGCCAUGCCGCGUGUGUGAAGAAGGCCUUAUGGUUGUAAAGCACUUUAAGCGAGGAGGAGGCUCUUUUGGUUAAUACCCAAGAUGAGUGGACGUUACUCGCAGAAUAAGCACCGGCUAACUCUGUGCCAGCCGCCGCUGUAA
rnacentral:rRNA from 1 species